rnacentral:rRNA from 1 species
AUUGAACGCUGGCGGCAUGCCUUACACAUGCAAGUCGAACGGCAGCACGGGUGCUUGCACCUGGUGGCGAGUGGCGAACGGGUGAGUAAUAUAUCGGAACGUACCUUAUUGUGGGGGAUAACGCAGCGAAAGCUGUGCUAAUACCGCAUAAUCCCUAAGGGGGAAAGCGGGGGACCGUAAGGCCUCGCGCAAUUAGAGCGGCCGAUACCUGAUUAGCUAGUUGGUGAGGUAAAGGCUCACCAAGGCAACGAUCAGUAGCUGGUCUGGGAGGACGAUCAGCCACACUGGGAAUGAGACACGGCCCAGACUCCUACGGGAGGCAGCAGUGGGGAAUUUUGGACAAUGGGGGCAACCCUGAUCCAGCAUUGCCGCGUGAGUGAAGAAGGCCUUCGGGUUGUAAAGCUCUUUUGUCAGGGAAGAAACAGCAGCUCUAACACAGUAUGCGAAUGACGGUACCUGAAGAAUAAGCACCGGCUAACUACGUGCCAGCAGCCGCCGUAA